rnacentral:rRNA from 1 species
GGCCAACCCUGUGGCGAGCUUAGGUAGCGCUGAGCCGUCGCAACGCGCGCAAAGGGGUGGGCCAUUAGUUAUAUUAAUGGCUUAAGGUACGUGCUAAUCCCUUGGGUAACCAAGCCUGUGUGAUGAGACCCGACAGGUCAAGGCACAUGGGG